AGCUGCUGGCUUUGCUUGGCGAGCUGCAGGUAAGAGCUGAAGGACGCACAGACAAAGAAUGCACAUCCAUCAGCCAAACAUCAAGAUUUGAACAGACAUGGAUGUAGACACACAGAUGGUCACUUCAUUAUGAAGUGAUUGGGUGAGAGGCUGGGUAAACCUUGGACAGGUCACAUGUCCAUUACAGAGCAACACAGAGACCAACGAGACAUACAACGAUGCACAGGACAAAUCCUCAGGACAAUUUAAAGAGACCAAUUAACAGAUUGUGGGAGGAAGCCAGAGUACCCAGAGAGACCCAUGUAUGGACAGGAAGGACAUACAAACUGCAUACAGAAAUAGCCCAGGCUGGGAUUCAGACCCAGGACCUGCUUGCUGCAAGAGUCAAACGACUGCAGGAAAACAAGAGUCAAGGCAACUCUGAGGUUCAAGGGCACAAGUUGGUACCAACAGGAGGACCAGCAGAUGAACGUAUGCCCCAGAGCACUGGCUCCCUCUUGUUGUUGUCAAUCAUUUCAAAUGGACACAUUUAACUCAUGAACUCUCAAAUUUAAAACAUAAAAGUCUUAAACUGUAUUUGGACAUUUACAUUUUCCAAUCAUUGUGUCUCUACUUGUUGUAAAACUCUCAAGCCUUUUUUUUCAAUUCCGUUUUUUUGCACAUUUACAGAGCCUCAUAAAAGUAUUCAAACCCCUUGAACCCUUUUUACUGGGAUUUUAUAUGACUAGCAAAAAGUUGUGCAUAAUAGUGAGAUGGAAGGAAUAUGAUGGUUUUACAAAAUGUUUUUACAAUAAAAAUCUGAAAAGUG